GACGGAGGAUGCAAGCGUUAUCCGGAAUGAUUGGGCGUAAAGCGUCCGCAGGUGGCUAUGUAAGUCUGCUGUUAAAGAGUGAGGCUCAACCUCAUAAGAGCAGUGGAAACUACAUGGCUAGAGUGCGUUCGGGGCAGAGGGAAUUCCUGGUGUAGCGGUGAAAUGCGUAGAUAUCAGGAAGAACACCGGUGGCGAAAGCGCUCUGCUAGGCCGCAACUGACACUGAGGGACGAAAGCUAGGGGAGCGAAUGGG
rnacentral:rRNA from 1 species